CCAUAAUGAGGGAGAGAGUGAGGCUGGCUUUCUUGAGUCUGAUGGGGACUUGGGAGUCUUAUUUUUGGGUGCUCAGCCUGCUAUCACCCUGGGAAGCCCGUGACUCCACCUUCCAGGUUUUCCGCAUUGGAGUUUCCAGGAGAAAGGAGCUGUCUUUAACCCUUCCUCUCCCUCCCUCUGAGUGCUGGAUCACAGGUUGAAACUGAGGAUCAUCAGUAUUUUCAGUGCCUGACAAUUUUCAAAGCCCAUCCGUUUUCCUCUGUUAGGUUACUGAGGAGUUACAAAGAUUCUAGAGGACACCCAGGCCUUUAGAGUCCAUGCUCAGGGCCUCCAGCUCCCCAACAACCUCUCCAGCCCUCCCUGGCCUCCUCUCACUCCCCACUGGGCUAGAGUAAAGCUUUAAAAGCACUCCUUUCCCAUCAUUACCUGCCCCAUGUAGCAGAUCUUGUUUGCAGGAACUAGGGUGCAGUGGACACCCAUCUCUGUUCAGGUUCAGCAGUUCACUGUCCUUCCUCCCAUUAUCCCUGCUCCUGUCACCAGCUGGGGUCAGUGAAGAGGCCUGCCCAGGUUCACUCAGCAGCAACAACUGCGGUGAGAACCUGCUCCAGGUGGCUGUAGUGCCCUAAAUUCAAACACUACCCUUCCCCCUGUGU
rnacentral:lncRNA from 1 species